GAUGAACGCUGGCGGCGUGCUUAACACAUGCAAGUCGAACGGUGAACGAGGGAGCUUGCUCCCUCCGGAUCAGUGGCGAACGGGUGAGUAACACGUGAGCAAUCUGCCCUGGACUCUGGGAUAAGCGUUGGAAACGACGUCUAAUACCGGAUACGAGGCGUGGGGGCAUCCCCAACGCCUGGAAAGAACUUCGGUCCAGGAUGAGCUCGCGGCCUAUCAGGUAGUUGGUGAGGUAACGGCUCACCAAGCCUACGACGGGUAGCCGGCCUGAGAGGGUGACCGGCCACACUGGGACUGAGACACGGCCCAGACUCCUACGGGAGGCAGCAGUGGGGAAUAUUGCACAAUGGGCGCAAGCCUGAUGCAGCAACGCCGCGUGAGGGACGACGGCCUUCGGGUUGUAAACCUCUUUUAGCAGGGAAGAAGCGAAAGUGACGGUACCUGCAGAAAAAGCACCGGCUAACUUCGUGCCAGCCGCCGCUGUAACAC
rnacentral:rRNA from 1 species